CUGAAAUCCCAGGGCUCAACCCUGGGGCGGGGGGCGAUACUGCCGGGCUAGGGGGCGGAAGAGGCCGCCGGUACUCCGGGGGUAGGGGCGAAAUCCGUUAAUCCCCGGAGGACCACCAGUGGCGAAAGCGGGCGGCCAGAACGCGCCCGACGGUGAGGGGCGAAAGCCGGGGGAGCAAACCGGGCUCAGGUCGGCGUUGCGCAGACAAUCUAAUCAUCCAGUCCCACCACGCGCGCCAACCCCUCAUCUUUACCAAGCCGACCUGGCCCGGGCUCAAAGGGGAUUAGAUACCCCUGUAGUCCCGGCCGUAAACGAUGCGGGCUAGCUGUCGGCUGGGCUUAGGGCCCGGCCGGUGGCGAAGGGAAACCGUUAAGCCCGCCGCCUGGGGAGUACGGCCGCAAGGCUGAAACUUAAA
rnacentral:rRNA from 1 species